UACAGAGGUCCCAAGCGUUGUUCGGAUUCACUGGGCGUAAAGGGUGCGUAGGCGGUCGGGUAAGUCUGAUGUGAAAUCUCACAGCUUAACUGUGAAACUGCAUUGGAUACUAUCCGGCUUGAGGAAUGGAGGGGAGACUGGAAUACUUGGUGUAGCAGUGAAAUGCGUAGAGAUGUGGAGGAACACCAGUGGCGAAGGCGACUUUCUGGUCUGUAACUGACGCUGAGGCGCGAAAGCGUGGGGAGCAAACAGG
rnacentral:rRNA from 1 species